rnacentral:rRNA from 1 species
UUAGCCGUAAACCAAGACAGACCCCCCCCCACCCCCUGUCCGCCAGAGAAUUACACGUGAAAAACUUAAAACUCAAAGGACUUGACGGUGACCCAUACCAGCCUAGAGGAGCCUGUCCUUUAAUCGAUACCCCACGAUACACCUCACCCCUCCUAACCUUCUAGCCUAUAUACCGCCGUCGCCAGCCUACCUAAUGACAGAGACAAAGUAGGUAAAAUAGUCAGACCCACUAGUACGUCAGGUCAAGGUGUAGCUAAUGGGGGGGGCAGAGAUGGGCUACAUUUUCUGCUUACCAGAACCAACCAUAAGUCUCAUGAAACUCAUACUGAAAGGCGGAUUUAGCAGUAAGCAACGACAAGAUAUGUCCAGCUGAAGCCUGCUCUGAGUUGC